rnacentral:rRNA from 1 species
AACGAACGCUGGCGGCGUGCCUAACACAUGCAAGUCGUGCGAGAAAGUUCCUUCGGGAGCGAGUAAAGCGGCGCACGGGUGAGUAACACGUAGGUAACCUGCCCCCCAGUCUGGAACAACUAGAGGAAACUCUAGCUAAUGCCGGAUGAGACCACGAUCCCUUCGGGGGUUGCGGCCAAAGAUGGCCUCUACUUGUAAGCUAUCGCUGAGGGAUGGGCCUGCGGCCAUUAGCUUGUUGGUGAGGUAACGGCUCACCAAGGCUGUGAUGGCUAGCUGGUCUGAGAGGAUGACCAGCCACACUGGGACUGAGACACGGCCCAGACUCCUACGGAGGCAGCAGUGGGGAAUAUUGCGCAAUGGGCGAAGACCUGACGCAGCGACGCGCG